GUGAGAUGGUGGAAGCGGUGAGUGGUUUCGGAGUCACUAGGUACACUAGGUAAGUUCUCUGUUGUCGGGGUUGCGUAGGGCCGCCACUCGGCCGUUUCUGUUUCUUUGAGAUCAGCACGGCGCCGCCGCCGGGCUCCGCGUGGCCUUAUUAGAAGGGCCGGCGCGGGGCGCCGCCGAACGACUUUGCGGGUGCUUCAGCCCCUUCUGCUUCCAGCGGUGGGAGCGAGCAGAAUGGGACCGUGUAUUUUCCCCUGCCCCUUAUUUGUAACUUCAGGAGUGUGAUCUCAUUCCCAUCACGGAGAUGUGGCUGAUCAGCUUGCACAACUGGAAUGCUGUUGCAGACGGCUGCGUUCCUUAUAGGAGAGACAGACAGGUGAGGUGGUGGAGUCUCUCUUUCAAUGAGAGAACUGGAUCAUGCUGAGCCUCGCCUCCCUCCUCAGCAAGGUGAUGGGACAGCUUGGUCGAGGUGAUAGCUGUAAGUGACGUGAUGAGGAAAAAAACUACUACAGAGUAGUCAUGGUGGAUUUGAUGAGGGGGGGAAAUGAUGCUGGACCAAGCUGGCAGCCUUCUGUGUUGCUGUGACUGGUUAGAUUAAGAGAAGGACAGUGGAUGCUGUGGGGGGGAAUAUCAGUACUGUCAGUAAAUUGCUCAAGUGCAGGAGUCUAGUUGAUGGGGAUGGGCUCAUUCAGAUACUGAUGGGAGGCAUGUGGCGGUAGAACAUUCACAGGCUUGAACAUCCAAAGUAAGAGUACUUUGGUGUGAGAGUGAUAGGAUAGGAGUGAUAGGAUAGGCUGCCCGAAGAGGUUAAGCAGUCCCCUUUUCUGGCGAUCAGAUUGCAUCCAGAUGCUUUCCUGAGUGACCUGCAGCAGGGAAGCAGCUUUAGCAAGGGAGUGGGACUGGAUGCUGUUGCAGGGUGAGUGCCACAACGGAGCAUUUAGCAGUGAGGAUCUACUUGAGUAUGGGAGUGGUUUCAUCAGUGGUGGGAUGAAGGAGAAGCUGUUCAUGGAGCUCUUACUGCAGGUUCAGGGCUGGAGCGGGGAUCCUGCUGUGAGAGUCUAUGGAGUGAGCUCUAAAGGUCUGUAGCAGGCCUGCUCCUGGAGGAAUGGAAUUCCCUGAGCGAGAGGUCCUGGCGCAGCCGGUGUCCUGAGAGGAAGGUCCUCAUCGUAGGCUGGGAGCUGUACUGCAGGUGUGGAAGAAGCAGAGGAGAUUGCCCAGGUAGGCACUGUUUGUAGUGGUGUGUUCCGGGGGUGGUCCUUGGGCAGAUCGCCAGUCCCCUUGGUGGGUGUAUGUUGCGUAUUCCGUUGGCCCUGGAGCCCCUGUUCGGAUCCCUUAGAGCGGGUGGCUUUUGAUGCUGCGGAAGAGCGGUUCCUGCAGUUGCAUGACUGCAGGUUGCGGAGAGAAAUGGGGAACAAGAGUUCCAAGGUGAGGGGCAGGGAGAGGGUCCCCAGGGCUGUGCCUGCUGUAAGUCCUUUACGAAAUGUGAUGGAAAAACUGGAAGAUAAAUUCUAGAGCUAGGGAUAAGUAUAAACAGAAAAUGAUUAGAUGUUGUGGUGCGUAUGGCCUGACCAAGCAAUUGCAGGGGGGGAUGAGUACUUUGGCCAGAAUAGGUGUCUGAUGAGACCGCUGACAGAGUGAAGGGUAUUGGCUCAGAUCAGCCUCUUUAACAACCCACCUGAACUGAGCUCUGUAACUAGUGCUGAUACCAAAAAGAAAAAGUUCUGCCGGCUUAAAGAAUUGGAUUGAUGCAAAGGGGACGCUAUAAAUUCUUCUUUUCCUUAAUCCAUUAACCCCACUAACGCUUCUGCAUAUCCUCUUAAGGAAGUUCCAGUGUUAUCAGGAGAUACAGGAUAUGUGAACUCCCCACUUAAUAGUGGAGAGGUGAGAAAAGGAUGUCUUGAGAGGAAGGUCCUUGGGUUCCUUGGGCUGGGAGCUGUGCCGCACAUGUGGAAGAAGCAGGGGAGACUUCCCCCCCUCCACCAACCAGGUAGGCACUAUUUGUAGUGGUGUGUUUUAAAAGGGAAAUCAUUAACGAAAGAUCCAAUUGGAUUAGCAGAGCAGUUGAUCAAUUCUUGGUCAUCUUUAGCUUAUAAAAUACUGGGAUUUAGUUUUACUGGGGAUGCCUUAAGAGUAAGAGGCGUAUAGGGAUCAGGAAUGAUAGUUUCAUUUUUUUGAGACUACUGGAUUAAAAUGGGAAGAUAAAAUAGUCCCAGUGCAAUUGUUAUAUGUGCCAAAAGCAGGGACCAAUUUAUUGGGGAGAGAUUUCUUAGUUAAACUAAGAUUGCAGUUGAAAACUUAGAAACGGUUGUAAAGGCAUUGAUGAAAUUAACAGCUGAUGACAAAAAAAUACUGCCAAAGGUGUGGGUAGGGGAAGGAAAUAGAUCUGUAGAAACGCUUUCUGGAUCUGUGCUUUAGACUCAGACUUGAUAUCUUUUUCUCUUUGAGAAGACCCAGAAAUGGGAUGAAAGUAGCAAUAUGGGUAGGCUGUCUUACCCCGAGGGUUCAAGGAGUCACGUGAUGUAUUUGUACCAGGUCCUGGGGAAAAUUUUGAAAAAGGUUAAGGUUGGAAAGGGGGGUAAAGCUGGUACAGUAUGUGGAUGAUCUGCUGAUUUGUGGAACAGAGGAGUCUAAAGUAAAAGACUACAAGUAAACUCAGAUUCUUGGUGAACAAGGGCUAAGGGUGUUUAAAAAUAAACUGCAGUAUGCGGAAAAAGUCAGAUACCUUGGGUAUGUGAUUUGAGGGAGAACAGAACUAAGUCUGGAAGAACUCGAAUUGUGCAGCUUCCUCUGCCCUGGACAAAGAGGGAGUUGUGAAAAUUCCUAGGUUUAAUUGAAUACUGUAGAUCAUGAAUAGAAGAACAGGUACAAAAAAAAAACCAAGGAGAUUCUAUCUUAAACUAUCAGAGGGAGAACCCAGCUUGUUAAAAUGGAGAAUAGAGAGAAAAGAAUUAGUAGAAGUAUUGAAAUGGGACUUAAUCACAGCACCUGUGCUAGGACUGCCUGCCUUAAAAGAACCAUUUUACUUUUUUGUAACUGUCAGUGUAGCUUUAGGAGUUCUAACACCAGAAUGGUGAGGGGAGGGGAAGGGGAAAAACAAACAUAUUGCAUACUUGUCUAAGCUAUUAGACCCUGUAUCUUGAGGAUGACCCGAAGGUAUCCAGGUGGUAGUAGCAACUGCCUUAUUGGUUGGAGAGAGUAUGUGUGUACCCUCUGGGGGUGUGAGGAGCAAAUGAACAGGGGAGGGAAUCUGCUCCUUGACCUCUGAGAAAUGCACGGUGCAAACCCUCUCCUGUGGAGUUGGAGUGGGCACGGAGUAAUUGGCCCAACUUAGAGGGAGUUGCAGAUCAUAUAAAUUCUCCCCAAGUAAACUCAUAUGGGGGAG